UUCGUAGGCGGGAUAUUAAGUCAGUGGUGAAAUCCUACAGCUUAACUGUAGAACCGCCAUUGAUACUGAUAUUCUUGAAUUCACCUGAAGUAGGCGGAACAUGACAUGUAGCGGUGAAAUGCUUAGAUAUGUCAUAGAACACCGAUUGCGAAGGCAGCUUACUAAAGUGAUAUUGACGCUAAGGAACGAAAGCGUGGGGAGCGAACAGGAUUAGAUACCCUGGUAGUCC
rnacentral:rRNA from 1 species